GAGGGUAUAGCUCAAGUGGUAGAGCAUAUGCUUAGCAUGCAUGAGGUCCUGGGUUCAAUCCCCAGUACCUCCA
rnacentral:tRNA from 1 species